GAUGAACGCUAGCGGCAGGCCUAACACAUGCAAGUCGAGGGAGAAGCCCUUUCGGGGGCAGAAACCGGCGCACGGGUGCGUAACGCGUAUGCAACCUACCUUUCACAGGGGGAUAGCCCGAAGAAAUUUGGAUUAAUACCCCAUAAUAUUGUUGGAUGGCAUCAUCUGGCAAUUAAAGCUACGACGGUGGAAGAUGGGCAUGCGUCCUAUUAGCUAGUUGGAGUGGUAACGGCACCCCAAGGCUACGAUAGGUAGGGGUCCUGAGAGGGAGAUCCCCCACACUGGUACUGAGACAGGGACCAGACUCCUACGGGAGGCAGCAGUGAGGAAUAUUGGUCAAUGGUCGGAAGACUGAACCAGCCAUGCCGCGUGCAGGAAGAAUGCCUUAUGGGUUGUAAACUGCUUUUAUAUGGGAAGAAUAAGGCGUACGUGUACGUNGANGACGGUNCCA
rnacentral:rRNA from 1 species